GUGGCCAGCGGCACUCUCAGGGCCGGCUGUUGCUGCGGGCGCCGGUGGGGUUUAGCCUUUGGGUUUGGGUUUGUUGGGUCGGGUGCCCGCGGGCUCGUGGUGGCGUCUAAGGCGGCCUGCCGCUGCCUUUGGGAGCUGUGUCCGGGGGUAGCGGGGGCGGGGGCGGCGGCGGUGGGGAGGGGGUAGCGGAGGGGCGGGCGCGGCGCGCGUACCGGCGGAGGAUGAUGUUGGGCGGCGGACGGUCCUGGAGGAUGCGGUGGGACGGGGGAGGGGGCGGCCCGUGGAGGAGCAUGCCGUGCAUGGCGGUCGUGCUCGUGCGGAUGGAUCGCUGCGUGGGAGGCGGGCGCAUGCCGCCGAUGAAGCUGGCGCGCCUCGGGGACCGCGGCGGCGCGCUGCUCGACGCGUGGGAGAAGUAGCGGCCGGAGGGGCGGCUGCAGUUCGGGGCGCUCCAGAUGUUGGAGAAGGCGCUGAAGGGGCCGAUGCAGAGGAGGGUGCAGGCGAGGCCGUUUAGGUGGGUCAGCAUACGCAAACGACACAAACGUCUAGUCGGCAGACGCAAUCGACGUUACUCACGGUGUUUACCUAACUAUAAACUGGAACUCUUCUUGACAAGAUAGGUACAUCUAGAACGUUUUAGAUUAAGUUCUAGUUUGAGUAGUUUCGCGGGUUCUAGUCUGAUACUCCUAAAGGGAUUUAGAUGACCCUUUUUUCGAUCUUCGGGUUCCCCUGCAGGACUAAGUCCACGACCUUCGUUAUAAGUGUACAGGCCUUACCCAUUAAGAAGUGUGUCGGACUUACCAAUAGGACGUGUUUCGAUAUACCUAAAACCAAGAUCACGACGAAAGUCGUUCCUAGGCCGUUAUAAACGAGGAGUUUUAUUAGGCGGUACAGGAUGCGAAAAACAACGUUUAGAACCAGUCUGACAAAGACUAGCACUCGACUGACUACAAAAGAGUUCAACGCUCCCUAAGUAUUUCAACUUCUACGUUUUGUUCAAACCUCGUGGUCAACGUAAACAACUAAAGUUCCUGCUGGUGUCAAGUUGACUUCGGGAUUUAGCAGAGGUUCCUCGAUAAGAUGUAAGUAGUAGACCGCUCCCGUACGCAAAUCUCAUAGGAAAAAACAUAUUAGUAUACCAACGGAGAUUCAUCUUCAUAGUAGAAUACUCUAGACCACUGUGAUUUAAACCAUGGGGGAUUAGAAAGUUAAUGUAGUGGUCGAGUGACUACGUUUUAUCAGAUACUUUACAAGUCUCAGACUAAAACUAAGUACAACCAAGCGAGAGUGAGCGUGGGCUUGGCUACUCACAGACGUUCGACUUAGAAUGGACGUGUACGAUAGUCAGUUCGUUAAUGAUAAACAGAACUGGUUACUGUAUAAUCUGUUGGUAGUACUCAUUAUAUAACUACUAUAUUAUCUCGAAUAUUCUCAUUGAUUGAUAAUAUGACUACUAUAUUAUCUCGAAUAUUCUCAUUGACUGAUGUAACAGGAAUAAAACGUAAGUAUUAAAGGGUGACACAAAAUACCACGUCAAUAAAUAUAAGGGAAUUGUACACAAUCUAUACGAUUUAGAGCCUACCCGGACGCGUUCGUCGCACUGUCGGCCAGGAUUUACCACAAGCAGCAGCCGACCGCGAGUUUACGACAAGUCAGGCUACGGUAUUAAGGCUCGGCACCAAACUAAGCCUGUUCCAGAGCCAACCGACCAAGUGGGACGUGUUAUUAGGAACGACCCUUGGGACGUCCACUCGGCUGUUAUCAACCGGUUACACAACCGAAGUCGAGCACAAGCGGUUACAAAGCUAAAUUCGUGGACCAUGGACUAACCCAGGAGCGUGCUGACCGACCAGUGACGGCUGCUGUCCAGGCUAGCGGGGGGGCCGUAUGUAUAAGGGGCUAGGCAGGUGCCCCUCGGUGCAGCCCCAAGAGCAGGUGCCGGGCAGUGAGCUCAAAAGCAAACGCUCCCGUCCCCUGACGUUCACCUGGAGCGACGGCAUCCCGACCCACCCUGAUGGCCCUGACGUAGUUGCAGCUGCCAGACGACAUACCUAAGUGUUCGAAACGCGUCCAGGCGUGCAAGCUAGAGUGGCCAGGAUGGCAGUGCUCCUUGUCUUAAUAUCUGCCGUACAACCUCUUAAUAGAGGCACGCGCCGAGAUGGAGCAGGUCUGGGGCAGGCUGUCGCCUAGGCUCAGGAAGUGGAGGUCUAGGCAGCUGGGGUUUGAGUAGGGUACGCCGGGGCUCCUCCUCCACCAGUAGGCCGAACGCGAGACGGCGCGGGCCCUCCUCCGGGUACCUGCCAACGCGAGCCUGAGGUAGGCAACCCUUAGGUAACGCAGGCGGGUUUACCCCGUACCUAGGCCGCGAUCCGGCCGGUAUCGACGGAGCAGCCUCCGGCACGCCAGGCAGAUC
rnacentral:rRNA from 1 species